rnacentral:rRNA from 1 species
CUGUGUCCUUCGACGCCGGUUCACCGCUUGUCGGUGCCAACUGGCGUUUUGCGGGACGUCCUGUCGGUGGUGCGUCAGGAAUCUUAGUUGUGCUAUGCUCUGCUUAGUGCAGCUCUGGUUUCGGGCCACUUUCAUAAUCCCGCCGCGGUGCUCUUAAUCGAGUGUCGAGGUGGGCCGGCACGUUUACUUUGAACAAAUUAGAGUGCUUCAAGCAGGCUUGUCACGCCUGUAUACUGUGUGCAUGGAAUAAUGGAAUAGGACCUCGGUUCUAUUUUGUUGGUUUCCGGAAUCUGAGGUAAUGAUCAAUGGGGACAGGCGGGGGCAUUCGUAUUGCGACGUUAGAGGUGAAAUUCUUGGAUCGUCGCAAGACGGACCGAAGCGAAAGCAUUUGCCAAGUAUGUUCCCGUCGAUCAAGAACGAAAGUUAGAGGUUCGAAGGCGAUCAGAUACCGCCCUAGUUCUAACCAUAAACAAUGCCUGCCAGCGAUCCGCCGGCGUCCCUCCGAUGACCCGGCGGGCAGCUUCCGGGAAACCAGAGCUUUUGGGUUCCGGGGGAAGUAUGGUUGCAAAGCUGAAACUUAAAGGAAUUGACGGAAGGGCACCACCAGGAGUGGAGCCUGCGGCUUAAUUUGACUCAACACGGGAAAACUCACCAGGCCCGGACACUGGAAGGAUUGACAGAUUGAUAGCUCUUUCUUGAUUCAGUGGGUGGUGGUGCAUGGCCGUUCUUAGUUGGUGGAGCGAUUUGUCUGGUUAAUUCCGAUAACGAACGAGACUCUAGCCUACUAACUAGACGUAUCUGGUAUCAGCAAUCGUGCUACCAGCGAUCAUAUCUCUUCUUAGAGGGACAGGCGGCUUCUAGCCGCACGAGACUGAGCAAUAACAGGUCUGUGAUGCCCUUAGAUGUCCUGGGCCGCACGCGCGCUACACUGAAGGAAUCAGCGUGUCUUCCCUGUCCGAAAGGACCGGGUAACCCGCUGAACCUCCUUCGUGCUUGGGAUUGGGGCUUGCAAUUGUUCCCCAUGAACGAGGAAUUCCCAGUAAGCGCGAGUCAUAAGCUCGCGUUGAUUACGUCCCUGCCCUUUGUACACACCGCCCGUCGCUACUACCGAUUGAAUGAUUUAGUGAGGUCUUCGGACCGGUGCGCGGAGGCGGUUUUCCGCUCCCGAUGUUGUCGGAAAGAUGACCAAACUUGAUCAUU